GCAUAUUCAAUGGGGUUGGGGUGGGAAUGAAAGCCUGGCUGCAGCUGGGUUCGAGAGGAGAGAACGCGAGACAGUGAGCGCUGACGACUGUUUCAGGUGGUUUUUGUGGACGUGUGUGACGAGUAAAGAGAAAAGCAGAGGAACUUGGAGGGAGCAGAGGGAGUCAAGAUAAGCUUUAUUUUUUUUUUUUAUGUGAAGGAUUAAUGGUGGAUUCUUUACCUCUGAGCCACCAGGGAAGCCCCGUUGGGGAUAAUGAGCAAAUAUUAAGUUAUCAGGCUUCCCCUCACCUCAGGAGUUUUUCCACACUGGAGAAUGAACUAAGUAAGAUUGAUUUGAGGAAUACAUGGAACUGAGGAAAGCAUAUGAAUUUGGAGCCAAAGACAGCAUUUUUAUUGUGGUGGUGAACUCAAGGAAAUAAAAAACCAACAAAAUGCUUGGGUUGAUACUGGGUCUGUCUCUGAAAAAAGUGAAAGUGUUAGUUGGUCAGUCAUGUCCGACGCUUUGUGACACCAUGAACUAUAGCCCACCAAGCUCCUCUGUCCAUGGAAUUUCCAAGGCAAGAAGGUUGGAG
ensembl:lncRNA